rnacentral:pre_miRNA from 1 species
AAUAGAUGAUGCCGUUGACUUUUGAGUACAUGUUUGAUCAUUCGUCUUAUUCAGAAAACUUAUGUAAUUAUUAUUUAUUUUGUUGUGAGUUGUUUUAUCACUAAGAGUAUUUUAAGCACGAUUUAUAUCUCAUGCAUUUGCAUAAAAUUUUUGAAUAAGACGAAUGGUCAAACAUGUGUCUAAAAGUCAACGGCUGAA